CCCCCUUGGCCGCAGCUUACACAUGCAAGUCGAACGGUCUCUUCGGAGGCAGUGGCAGACGGGUGAGUAACGCGUGGGAACCUACCUUUCGGUACGGAACAACAGUUGGAAACGACUGCUAAUACCGUAUACGCCCUAUGGGGGAAAGAUUUAUCGCCGAAGGAUGGGCCCGCGUUGGAUUAGCUAGUUGGUGGGGUAAUGGCCUACCAAGGCGACGAUCCAUAGCUGGUCUGAGAGGAUGAUCAGCCACACUGGGACUGAGACACGGCCCAGACUCCUACGGGAGGCAGCAGUGGGGAAUAUUGGACAAUGGGCGCAAGCCUGAUCCAGCCAUGCCGCGUGAGUGAUGAAGGCCUUAGGGUUGUAAAGCUCUUUCGCCGGUGAAGAUAAUGACUGUAGCCGGUAAAGAAGCCCCGGCUAACUUCGUGCCAGCAGCCGCGGUAAU
rnacentral:rRNA from 1 species